rnacentral:pre_miRNA from 1 species
AAAGACAGAACUCUUCGGUUUCCGUGUCCAACGUUUUACUAUCCGUCUUAUAUGAAAUUUUUUUAUGAUUAGUAUUUUUAUUAUUGUUAGUUGAUAAAACAUGUAUAAUACUUUAUGCAUGACUUAUCUUUUUAAAUUUGUUUAUAUUUUUUUUAAAUAAGACGAACGGUCAAACGUUAGACACGGAAACUCAG